rnacentral:lncRNA from 1 species
UCAUCAUUCUGAUGUGUCCCAUUUUGGACUUCGCCAAGGUAGUGCUUGAUGUCCCGCAUUUUUAGCUUAAGAUUUCCUUCUUGAUGAGACUUUCCAAUAGGCAGAGAGUAAUCUGGAGUGGAAUCUCUACCGAAGGAGGAGGGAAAUCGCCGUCUCGAUCUUCCUUCUCCAAACUACGAUGGGGGGAUGACUGAGGGGAGUAGAAGCAAGAGCGAAGUGGAGGGUGCAUCAAGGAGCCAAUUCCACGC